UACGUAGGGGGCAAGCGUUGUCCGGAUUUAUUGGGCGUAAAGAGCGUGUAGGCGGUUUGGUAGGUCCGCUGUGAAACUCGAGGCUCAACCUCGAGACGCCGGUGGAAACCAUCAGACUAGAGUCCGGAAGAGGAGAGUGGAAUUCCUGGUGUAGCGGUGAAAUGCGCAGAUAUCAGGAAGAACACCCGUGGCUAAGGCGGCUCUCUAGUACGGUACUGACGCUGAGACGCGAAAGCGUGGGGAGCAAACAGG
rnacentral:rRNA from 1 species